GGCACUGUGGUGUACGGAACACACGCCGUGAUUGUAGCUGUGUACUCAUCCAUAUGUAUAUAUCCGGUGAGACGGGGUUCGACUCCCCGCGGUGCCU